GCAGUGGUGCCUCAGUGGUAGAGCUCUUACCUUCCAUGCAGGAGGCUUGGGUUUGAUUCUUGGCCAAUGUA
rnacentral:tRNA from 1 species